GAUGAACGCUGGCGGCGUGCCUAAACCUGCCAGGUGAGCCGAAGGACGAGAAGCUUGCUUCUCUGAUGUUAGCGGCGGACGGGUGAGUAAACCGUGGAUAACCUACCUUUAAGAAUGGGAAAAAUUCGGGAAACCGGAGCUAAAACCGGAAAAAAUUUUUAACCGCAUGGGUCAAAAGUGAAAGAAGGUCUUGCUGUUACUUAUUGAUGGAUCCGCGCUGCAUUAGCUAGUUGGUAAGGUAACGGCUUACCAAGGCAACGAUGCAUAGCCGACCUGAGAGGGUGAUCGGCCACACUGGAACUGAGACACGGUCCAGACUCCUACGGGAGGCAGCAGUAGGGAAUCUUCCGCAAUGGGCGAAAGCCUGACGGAGCAACGCCGCGUGAGUGAUGAAGGUCUUCGGAUCGUAAAACUCUGUUAUUAGGGAAGAACAUAUGUGUAAGUAACUGUGCACAUCUUGACGGUACCUAAUCAGAAAGCCACGGCUAACUACGUG
rnacentral:rRNA from 1 species